UUUAUAUCCUCCACCGCGAAUCCAUAAAACCGGAGUCCUAGGGCGGACACACCACGCGCAGAUUGGUCGCUGGAUGGAUACGUUGGAAUUGGGCCAAGAACGUGCUCAAUGUUUUACGAAAGUGCCGAACAGAUCAGGCAUCGCCUUGCAAGCGCAUCGAGUGAACCCCUGAGCUGCCAUUAUGCGCCUUUGCUUUGCCACUGAUUGCCUCUACUAAGCUGGUCCAUUGGAAGAAGCAAGCCCGGCGUUGGGACCUUCUGCGUUGAAAAAUGGCUGCUUCGUCUGGGUGGAGGUACUAUUCUGCGACAGAAAAAAUUGGUGCAGUGCUAUCAAUGGCGGAGAUGAACGGCAAUGCCUCAUUAGCAAUGAGUCUGUACGCGUCUCGCCAUCCGGAUCGGCGAUUUCCAACCGAAGCAACAUUUGUUAGCAUUUUCAGACGUUUCACACAGCAGGCCCAGUUCACCAAAAAAGGACAGCCCAAGUAGAGCAUCAUUGAGGAGUACUUUGAAAUUCACGUUCUUGCCUGCGUACAUCCGAUGUUAAAUGUAAGUACCAGAGAGAUUUCUAAACAAUGCGGGAAAAGUGUGGGAACAGCGCACAACGUUCUAAAAAAGCACGAAUUUCAUCCAUACCAUGUGAGUCUUCAUCAGGCCAUAAGUGAGGCAGGCUUUGAAAAACGGGCAGACUUCUGUAAUAGGGCGCUAAUAAAAAUUGACCAAGAUACACAUUUCGUACAAAGAGUGAUUUGGACUGAUGAGGCUCGAUUUUGCAGGAACGGCACAGUGAACUUACACAAUGCUCACUGCUGGUCGCAAGGAAAUCCUCACUGGCUGCGCCAACACAACCAACAAAUUCGCUGGGGUCUAAAUGUAUGGUGCGGCAUACUUGGAGACAGAAUCAUUGGUCCUCACUUCUUCGAAGGGAACCUCGAUGGAAAGAAUUAUGCGCACAAAAUUCUUGCUGGUGUCGUCGAUAAAUUUGCCUUGACCGAGUCUUCCUCUCAACCAAUUGCGGCAAGUUUGAUUCUAGCAUGACGAAGCCCCGCCACAUUUCUUCUCCACUGCAAAGAACUGGUUAAACUGUAACUUUCCAUGGCAGUGGAUUGCACGCAAAGCAGAGAUGUUUUGGCAACCGAGAUCCCCUGAGCUCUUUCCACUGCACUUCUUUUUGUGGGGCUCCGUGAAAGAUCACUUUUACGCAGUUGAACCCACCGAUGUCAACAAAAUGAAGAUGAGAAUAGUUACCGCCGGUCGAACUAUCGACCUGAAAAUGCUGCUCAGAGUUGUCGAUUCGACGCGAGAACGGUUCGUGCGGUGUGUUGCUGCGGAAGGCAAGCAUUUCGAACAUUUUUUAACCGUUGAUUGCUUGGCGAUUGUCAUAUUUCUAAUUUGAGUAAGAUUUCAUGUCACUCGAAACUAAUAUUGUGUAAGCAAUGGUAAAUUUGAAGCAAAUUUCUAAAAUGUUUGUAUGUUUUGUUUGUAUGUAGGCCAUGGAUUUACACUGUACUUGUUCUUUUCUUGUUUUUUUAUUUCCACUUCUUCCAAAGCAAUGCCGGAACCGGAGCUGCGUGUAUAUAAAUAAAUAUGAAUUUGACUACGUUGAUGCAA